rnacentral:rRNA from 1 species
AGUGAACGCUGGCGGUAGGCCUAACACAUGCAAGUCGAACGGCAGCACAGUAAGAGCUUGCUCUUACGGGUGGCGAGUGGCGGACGGGUGAGGAAUACAUCGGAAUCUACUUUUUCGUGGGGGAUAACGUAGGGAAACUUACGCUAAUACCGCAUACGACCUACGGGUGAAAGCAGGUGAUCUUCGGACCUUUCGCGAUUGAAUGAGCCGAUGUCGGAUUAGCUAGUUGGAGGGGUAAAGGCCCACCAAGGCGACGAUCCGUAGCUGGUCUGAGAGGAUGAUCAGCCACACUGGAAAUGAGACACGGUCCAGACUCCUAAGGGAGGCAGCAGUGGGGAAUAUUGGACAAAGGGCGCAAGCAUGAUCCAGCCAUACCGCGUGAGUGAAGAAGGCCUUCGGGUUGUAAAGCCCUUUUGUUGGGAAAGAAAAGCAGCAGGUUAAUACCCCGCUGUGCUGACGGUACCAAAAGAAUAAGCACCGGCUAACUUCGUG